UCCAAAAUGAAAAAGAUUUUUGAGGCAAUGCAGCUGAGAACACAUACUUAUGAUGCCUUCAGAAGACAUGCCAGGACAUACCUGGAACCAGCUAUAAUCCACAAAUUGACUGAAUGGCAAAUACAAAAGCUUAA